UCCUCCUCCUCCUCCUCCUCCUCCUCCUCCCUCUCUCCUCUUUCUCCCUUCUUCUUUCUCUUUCUCCCUCCCCCCACAGGACUUGGAGAAUGGAUCACAGAAUACUGCGGCUAGGAACACAGACUUCCUAUCUGUGAUGAGAGGUUCAGCAUCCCAGGUGCCCCGUGUGUACCCUUAGGGAUCCGGAUCCUUCACUCAGCAGCAGUGCGAGGACACGCCAUGUCCCACGCUCACCCUUUGAGAUGCCAAGGUACCUGGCUUUCCUAUUGCAGUCACAGCACCUUAAGGACAUGGAGGCGCAGCGGGGAACAUAGGGGUCUGACAGCCCAGGGCAAGACGCCGGCACCAGGCGCCCCCGAGAUCUGGGCGGGGCAGCGGAGUCGGGGGCGCGCGGCCCGGGCUGAUAGGAACGCGCACAGCCUCCGGGAGUUCGCGGCCCAGUGUGCUCCAGCCCCAGAGCCAGCCAGCGUGGCGCGAACUCAGUGGGAUGCGGUGCACUGAGAGGAUCCCAAAGGCCACGAGGCGCCUGGCACACCCCAAGACGCGCGGCUCAGCGCCAUCCUCCUGUCACACCCCACUUGCUUUUCUCGAUUUCAAUGGUCCCGAGCCACAAGCAGGUGUGGGAUACAAUCCCUCUGCUCCAAGUGGCACCGACCCCUUGGCGGUCAAUUCGGACAACGGCCGGCCGGCUCGAGAGGGCCAGGGCCCAGGUCAGAUGCAAGCCAGAGCAGGACGCGCUGCCCCUGCAGGCAGCCAGCUUGGUUUUCCACAAGCAUCAAGAGACGUGGAAAUCUGUAUGGACCACAGGUCCAGUAUGAUUGUUGGGAAACAGCUCCUUCCUGGAAUUGCUUUGGAAUUAAAAGUAGAACAACAUUGAGGAAAUAGGCUCCAAUUGAUUGAGUGAACAGCCACAGUCCAGCAAGCUUGCCUUCCUGUGAGGAGUCUACAAAGGAGCCACUGUGAAGUGGCUGUUCUGAUAUUCUAUUGCAGAUGAAGAUGUCAGCCCAGGCAGUCCGGAUUAAUCUCCAUGGCCCUAUACCUAGUGGCAUGCUCCAUCUAUUUGACCAUGUGAACUGCUCCUCAUGAGAGCACAGGCCAGCUGGAAAUGGGGCUUCACUCACGGCCACUCUCCCCCCCAGGCCUGAAGCCAUCUUUCAUCUACUUGGCAUCUGGUGUGGAAUCCCUUGGCUUCAUAAAAAUGAUACAGACUUGUUGUCAUUUUACAUACAUGUGGCUGUGGUCUCCCUUUCUGUAGUUUGUUAUCUACAAUAAAUUGUAGACCAGAAGUCUUAAAUGGAAAAUUCCAGAAAUAAAAACAAUUCAUGAGUUUAAAAUUACACAUUGGGGAAAUGCGACGAACUCAUAUGCCACCGGCACUGCCCUGGAUAUAUUCAGUUGUCCAGUGUUUCCAAGCUGUAUAUGCUACACUCCAUCAGGUACUUAGCUGUUCAGUUGAUAUCUAGCACUUUCAUCCAAGUAAGCCUUAUUUUACUUAGUAAUGGCCCCAAAGCACAAUGCUGGCAAUUUAGAUGCGCCAACGAAAAGCCACAAAACGCUUCAAGUGAAAAGAAAUAAUAUAAUAAGUAAUAAUAUCGUAUAAUGACAUCGUACGCUGAGGUUGCUAAGAUCUGUGGUAAGAACGCAGUACACCAGAGUUCUGCACUGUCCCCGACUGAGGCAUCCACUGAGGGCCCUGGGAGAUGUCAUCAGCAGGUAAUGGAGCUGUUGUAUACAGACUGCCUCACCCUCACACACAUACAUGAUAUGCCCACACUAAGCUACAUACAAACUACUCAACACACACAGCUUAAACAUGUGCUUGUACAACAUGUAUACCAUCUCCCAUGCACACCACCCUAUAUAGCUCACACACAUGCUCACAUUAAUACCCACACAACCACCUCACCUACUACACACAUACACACAUACUUUACACAGUAGUGGCACUAAUCCCCUGCCUCACAUACAUGCAUAUGCAGCUCACAGGCACACAAUAACCCAUAUGCAUACUAACUCAUACACAUGCUCAGACAGCUCAUACGCAUGCCCAUAUUUUUCACAUAUAUGCACAUAGCUGACUCAUCAUAUUAACCUAUCCAUACAUUCUCCCACUGUUCACCUACAUACACAGUACCUCACAUGCAUGUUCAUGCAGCUCACAAACAUGCUCACAGAUGCACACAUAGCACAAUACACACAUAUACACAUAUAUUCAUACUAACACAGGUGCUGAUGACCUCACAUAUAUGCACACAUUUAUAUACUUUAUAUGCAUACUCAUGCAGUUUACUCACAGUCUUACACGGUAACACACAUACAUGUCCUUUAGUCACCCAUGAACUGUUGAGCCUUUGCACAUGUGGAAAUAGGUGGGCAUUGGCUUGUAUCCCCUUAGCUGCUAUUCUAGAUUUCAUUUUUUUUCUCUCUCUCCCAGGACCCAUGUGAAUUGUGCAUUUCUAUUCCAGUUAUAUGGCUGAGGAAACUGCUAUGAAAUAAACAAAAACUUGCAAAUGGA